rnacentral:rRNA from 22 species
CGCCUCUGGAAAAGAUCAGCGGUUCUGCCUGCCCGGUGACUUAGUGUUAAACGGCUGCAGUACUCUGACUGUGCAAAGGUAGCAUAAUCAUUUGUCCAUUAAUUGUGGACUGGAAUCAACGGCUAGACGACAGGAAGACUGUCUCUUCACAUAUAACUUUGAAUUUAACAUUAAGGUGAAGAGGCCUUAAUAUAAAAGUGGGACGAGAAGACCCCGUGGAGCUUUAGUCUUUAAGUGUUGUUUUUCCUAGUUAAAGACUUUAGUUGGGGCAACUGUUUAUAUAAUUUAAAACAUAAACAAAACUUUUAGCGAAUUAAAUCUCUAUAAAUGACCUAUAACUUUAUAAUCAAUGGAAAAAGUUACCCCGGGGAUAACAGCGUAAUUCUCCCCGAAAGCACCUAUUGACGGGGGAGUUUGCGACCUCGAUGUUGGAUCAAGAUUACCUAGGGGUGCAGCAGCUCUUAAAGGUUGGUUUGUUCAACCAUUAAAAUCUUACG